rnacentral:rRNA from 1 species
UACGGGGGGGGCAAGCGUUGUUCGGAAUUACUGGGCGUAAAGGGCGCGUAGGCGGCCUGUUAAGUCGAACGUGAAAUCCCCGGGCUCAACCCGGGAACUGCGUCCGAUACUGGCAGGCUCGAAUCCGGGAGAGGGAUGCGGAAUUCCAGGUGUAGCGGUGAAAUGCGUAGAUAUCUGGAGGAACACCGGUGGCGAAGGCGGCAUCCUGGACCGGCAUUGACGCUGAGGCGCGAAAGCCAGGGGAGCAAACGGG